rnacentral:lncRNA from 1 species
UUUUUUUAAACGAUAAUCUUACAAAUAUUAUAUUACUUCAUUGGAUGAACAUUAAAUAAACAAAACCCUAUUUUAACAAACAAAAACCAUAGUCACUAUCAGAAACACAAAAAUGGUUUCUCAUCUCAAAAAUGUAAAAAAAAUCGACGAUAACGGAUGAAAUGCGUAAAACAUUAUGCGAAUGCAACAAAGGUAAUUCAAGUAUCACUCAGAAGCAAAGUACGACUUGCAAGUGAAAAAGGAAAAGUACGACUUGCAAGUGAAAAAGGAACGAUAUCAAAUACUACUAAGAUUAUCUCAAUUUUCAAGAAGAAACAAGUCACAAUUGACUCAUUCUUUAUGAAGUCCUCAUAAAUGAUUUUUUAUUUUUUUUAUUUUAGUUAAGGUAUUUCAUCCAUUAAAAAUAAAGGAUACCGCCUAGACUAGCUUAGGACCUGCGUAUGGACCAUUUAGACCCACUUAAGGGCCGCCUAAACCUGCCAAGGGCUGCCGAGAUCCGCCUAGGGCCACUAAAGGGCAGUCUUGACCCGCCGAGGGCCGCUUUGACCUGUCCAGGGACCGCCUUGACCUACCUAGACCAGCUUAGGGGCCGCCUAGACCCGCCAAAGGUUGUCGAGACCCACUUAGGGCCGCCAAGAGAGCGCCUUGACCCUCCUAGGGCCAUCAAGACCUGCCUAGACCUGUUUGGACCCGCGUAGGGCCGCUAUGGGACCGUCGAGACCUGCCUAGACCAGCUUAGAACCCACGUAGGGACCGCCUAGACCAACUUAGGGGUAGCCUAGACAAGCCAAGGGGUUGCCGAGACCUGUCUAGGGCCGUUAAUAGGUCGUCUUAACCCAUUGAGGGCCGUAAUGGGCAGCUUUGACUUGCCUUGACCUGCCAAGGGACCGCCUUGACCCACCUAAACCAGCUUAGGGGCCCCUAAGACCAGCCAAGGGCUGCCGAGACACAUCUAGGGCUGGUAAGAGGCUGUCGAGGCCGACUUAGGGCCGCCAAUGGGGCGCCUUGACCCGCUUAGGGCCGUCAAUACCAGCAUAAAUGUGCUUAGGACCUGCCUAGGGACCACCUAGACCUGCUUAGGGGCCGCCUAGAGCCCUAGACUAGCCAAGGGGUAGCUGAGACACGUUUAGGGCUGCCAAGGGGGCACCUUGACCCGCCUAGGGUCAUCAAGACACGCCUAGACCUGCUUAGGACCCGCCAAGGGCCGCUAAAGGGCGGUCUUGACCGGUCGAUGGCCUCUUUAACCUGCUAAGGAACCGCCUUAACCCACCUAGACUAGCUUAGGGGCCGCCUAGACCACCAAUGGGCUGCCGAGGCACGUCUAGGGCUGCCAAGGGGUUGUCGAGACCCACUUAAGGCCACCAAGAGAGCGUCUUGACCCGCCUAGGGCCGUCAAUACCCGCCUAGACCUACUUAGGACCCUUGUAGGGCCGCCUAGACCCGUCAUGGGGCCGUCGAGACCCGCCAAGGGCACAAAGAUUUAAGUAGGCAUCUUUUGUUGAUAUUCAGAAAACGAAGUCUGUAGAUCCGGUUUAAAGUUAAACUCAUAUAAACUAAUCUUAUUGAGAUUUUCGAGUUCCGUCAGUUCGAGAAAAUAUUUAUUUGUCAUGAUUUCUUACUAGAAAAGGUUUGGUUAAAAAAUAAGAACAUUGAAUUUUGAUGGAAAAAUCGUGUGCUUUAGUAAAAGAUUUUAACCAAAAUCAAGCAAAACUCGUACAUACUAAUCCGAUUGAGAUUUUCUAGUUCCGUCAGUUUAAAAAGUACUUCUUUGUCAUUAUUUCAUACUAGAAAAGGUUUGGUUAAAAAAUAAGAGCAUUGAAUUUUGACGGAAACAUCGUGUGCUAUAGUAAGAGCUUUUAACAGAAAUCAAGCAAAACUCGUAUACACUAAUUCAUUUGAGGUUUUCGACAUUCGUAAGUUCGAGAAGUACUUAUUUAUCAUGAUUUCUUAAUAUAAAAGGUUUGGCUAAAAAAAUAAGAACAUGAAGUAAAUAGAAUAUUUAUUAUCAUUUUAGCCUACAACCCACGUGGGGACUGUUUAGACCCGCUUAAGACCUGCCUAGAGCCGAUCUUGAUCCGUCGAGGCUGCCAAGGGGCCGCCAUGGGGCCGCCAUGACUUGCCAAAGGGCCGCCUUGACUCGCCUUGACCUGCUUAGGACUGCUAAGCGGCCGCCAUGACCCGCCUAGGGCCGCCAAGGGCUGCCUUCACCCGUCUUGACUAGCCUAGGGCCGCCUUCACCUGUCUUGACCCAACAAGGGCCGCCUUGACCUGCCAAGUGGUUGCCAAGUCCCUUCUAGGGCCACCAAGGGGCCGCUUGGACCAACCUAGGGCCGCCUUGACCCGCCAAGGACUGUCUUGACCCGUCUACACCUAGGGCUGUCUUAACUCGUCAAGGACCACCAAAGGGCCGCAUUGACCUACCUAAGGCCGCUAAGAGGCUGUCUUGAUCCGUCUAGGGCCACCAAGGGGCUGCUUUCACCCGUCUAAGGCCGCCAAGAGGCCACCUUGACCCUCUUAGGCCCGCUUAGGGCCACCAAGGGACCGCCUUGACCCGCUUAGGGCUGUCAAGGGGCCGCCUUAAUCUGUCUUAGCCCGUCUUGACACGCCUUGUCCCGUCUUAACCCGCCUUGGGCGACCUUGACCCUCCUAGGGCCGCUAAGAGGCCUCCUAGACCCUUCUAAGGCCCCCAAGGGGCCGCGUUCACACGUCUAGGGCCGCCUUCACCCGCUUUGAACCGCCUUGAGGCGCCUUGACCCUUUUAGGGCCACCUUAACCUGGCUAGGGCCGCUAAGGGGCCGCGUUCACUCGUCUAAGGGGGCUACCUUGACCCUCCAAGACCCGCCUAGGGCCACCUUGACCCUCCUAGGCUCGCCUAGGGCCAUCAAGGGACGUCAUGACUCGCCAAGGGGUCGCCAUGACCCGUCUAAUGCCGUCAAGGGGUCACCUUGACUUGCUAAUGGGCUACCUUGACUCUCUUAGAGCUGCCUAGGGCCGCCUUGACCCUCCUAGACUUGUCUAUGGGUCACCUUGACCCGCUUUGACCUGUCUUGACCUGCAUAGAACCGCCUUGAGACGCCUUGGCCCGCCUUGACCCACCUUGACCCUUAUAGGGCCGCCAAGAGGCCGCCUUGACCUAUCAAAGGACACCAAGGGCCCGUCUUGACUCGUCUAGGGCCGCUAAGGGGGUCGCGUUCACCCGUCUAAAGCCGCUAAGGGGCUUCUUUGACCCGUCAAGGGGCUACCUUGACCCUCCUAGGGCCGCCAAGAGGUCGUCUUGACCGCCUUGGUCCGCCUUAAUCCGGCUUGACUCGUCUAGGGACACCACGGGGCCGCCUUGACCCGGUUAGGGCUGUCAAAGGGCCGCCUUCACCCAUCUAAUGUCGCCAAGGGGUCGCCUUGACAUGCUAAUGGGCUACCUUGACCCUCCUAGACCUGCCUAGGGCCGCCUUGACCCUCCUAGGCCGGUCUAGGGUCUCCAAGGGGCUGCCUAGACCCGCCUUGACCCGUUUUGAACCACCUUAGGGCGCCUUGGGCCCCCUUUAACCCGUUUAGGGCAGGUUUGACUCGCUUUGACCCUCUUAGGGUUACCAAUGAGCUGUCUAGGUGUAAUAUCUCGGAAUUUCGAAUUUCUAUUUUAAAAAGGAAAAAUAUUUUUUGAGCUAUUUUUAGUUCGAUUUCUAUUAUUUCUUCAAAUUCUUUGUGGCUUUCAAAAAUUAUUCAAAUUUUGUCUUUCAAGCCCAUAGGAUUAACCUAGACGUCGUUACGAGUUCGUGGAAUUUUUCGGAGCAUCGUUUGGACAUCAGAGCUAUUUUUAAUAAUUUUUUAGAAGUUGGUAUUAUCUAAAAAUUAUUUUAAAAUAGAAAAUUAAAGUCGGUGAAAUCCAGGCCGUCAAUUUGGGUAUGUAUAUAGAAGUCGAUCAGUUUGAGACUAGAUUAGAUUCAUAGCUUAGACCGACUCGGUCUCGAGCCAUUGCGCAGCGACGACCUCCGAUCACUCCUCCUUCGUCCGACCGUCUCUCGGCGUCCAACCGGUGGCCAUGACUUCAUCUCGUCGUCCCUGACCUCCCUGUGAUUUCAGAUCGAAGAGUGGAGCUCCGGUGACAGAGAAAGGGAGGAGAGAAGGUGAUUGUGUUUCUGAUCGUGUUUCCGAUCCCGACCACGACGGCGAGCGUGAGCGGUGCUGGUAGCUUUGCCUCAACUCCCUAAACAUCGUUGUGCUAUUGGUUUUUGAAGAGAAGCCUUGAGGAGGGAGAAUCGAACCUCAGAAAUUUUUAGGGUUUUCCGGCCGUGUUCUUCAUUUUCCGGCGAGCUUCAAGUAUCGAUUCAGGUAUCAAAGUUGGUCCAUUUGUCGAGCUCUACCUGUUUAUAUGCUUGAAUUCGAGUUUGAUUAAGUUUUGAAGAAGUUGGUGUUUGGGCAGACGUCGGCCGCCGUGAGUACUGUUGUGUACGGCGGUGGAAGGUGGUGGUUCUUGUAGUUUCUGGUUUUUCAUAGUAUAUUGAUUGUGGAGGGAUGCUUUGAUAUGUAUUUGAAUUGCAGGAGAUUGAAAAUUGGAUGAAGUGGGUUUUGGGGCAGUGUUGUUCGGAGGCGGAAAUGAUGGUUGAUACUUCUGGGUUUGGUUUAUGUUUUGGAUGAAAUUGCAGGACAUGAUAUUGGUGUUGUAUAUGCUUGAAGUCCAUAAAUGAAAGAGUUGGGAAGUAGAGGAUUAAGGUCGAAUUGUGUUGUUGGAAUGAAGAACAGUAGUGUUCUUCCAUUCGUUGAAGUGCUUGAAUUCAAGAGUUUGAAAGUUGAUAUCGACAGAAUAGAACAUGGGUGUCUAGAGUAGAUUUGGAGUCAAGUUGGUACUUAGAGCGCAAUUUGGAUAUGAUGACGGCAUUGAGUGUAAAGACGAAUAAAAAUGUGGAAAUAAAUUGAAAUGAGUACAUUUGAUUCAGAAAUCAUUGGAAAAGAAAAAGGAUUCAGUAUGAGGAUCGAAUGCGAGUAGCUGGAUUGCAGAAGGAGAAGGAUAAGGAUUUCAGAAUGCGUGUUGCAGAGUUACUAAUUUUAGUGUCGGAAGUAACGCUUGGAUUCCAGGUAGGGUCUUUCUCGGGGAACCUUUCUUAAAUUGAUAAUUAGAUUAUAAUUGAAAUUGUUGACUUGUGUGCCAUUGAGUGAUUAACUCUUGGAUGUUACUGUUUUUCAUGAAAGCAUGUGUUAUCGUUGACUUAUAUGAUCAAUGUUAUCGCUUUUUGAUAAAAGCAUGUGCUUGAUAUUGUUAUAUUACGCGCAUCGAUAUUUGUUAUGCAUGCAUAAUGCAUUGUGAGGAAUUGUGAGAAGUGAGAUUGGUGAUUAUGGAGAGGUGUUAAUGAGAUCGAUAGAAUAGAUACAUUUUGUGUAGUUGAGUUUCCUCAUGGGGACUUCUAGUAGCUAUGAUUAGCCCAUCUGUGCAAAUGAGUAGGGAAUGUAUGCCCUUUCAACAUAUGAGUCGAUAAAACUAUCUUAUCGGGUUUCGGGACUGAGGACCAUGAGGUUAAUAAAAGACUAACAAAACAGGUACUGGAGUUUAUAUAUUACUGAUUUGUUAGGUCGUAUAUUCGAGACAUCUACACGGUAUGGGACGUGUAGGUACAUAUGUCUUGGGUGUAUGGACUAAUUAGCCAGUAAUAGAGUGGAGGGAGUGCAUUAGCAUUUAUGCAUCGAUUUGUUGUUAUUUAUUUAAAGUAUUGUUUGAUAUGUGAUAACUUGAUUGUGCGACAUAGUUAAGUAUAACCUUAAAAGGUUAGGCCCUAUUGAGCGUAAGCUCACCCCUAUAGAAUUUUGUUUGGGUUUGUACAAGGCACGCCACGUCUUUCGAGAAGUCUAACAGUACGUUUAGCUAACGUGUACUAGAGUAUAGAAGAGUUACGGAAGAUUAGAAGUCAGAUAGAUCCGCAAGGCCUGGACGUUUUGUCUUUGUAAUUGGUUUUGUUAUUUGUAAACGUUAUUUGAAAUAUUUGAAAUUGUUUUAUUUUCUUUUACUUUUCCCGCUCACGCCUCGGGUUCGGCGUCAGGUGCUUGGAAACCACCGACACCGGGUCCGGGGUGUGACACUAGGGCCGCCAAGCGGCCGCCUUCACCCGCAUAGGGUCGCCUUGACCCACCUUGGGCCGUCUUGACCCUAAUUGAGCCGCCUUGACCCGCCAAGAGGCCGCCUUCACUCGCCAAGGGGCUGCCUUGGCCCACCGAAAGGCCGCCUUCACCCGUCUAAUGUCGCCAAGGGGUCUCCUUAACCUGCUAAUGGUCUACCUUGACCCUCCUAGACCUGCGUAGGGCCGCUUUAACCCUCCUAGGCCGGUCUAGGGCCGCCAAGGGGCCGCCUUGACCCGCCUUGAGGCGCCAUAGGCCGUCUUGACCCGUCUUGGUCCGCCUUAACCUGUCUAGGACCCCCUUGACCCUUCUAGGCCCGCCUAGGGCAGUCAAGGGGUUGCCAUGACCCUCCUAGGGUUGCCAAUUUGCUGUCUAGGGACGCUAAGCGGCCGCCUUGACCCGCUUUGACAUGUCUUGGGCCAUCUUAAUCCUCCUUGACCCGCCUUGAUCCGUCUUGAACCGCCUUGGUCAGCCUUAAUCCGUCUUGACCCGCCAAGAGGCCACCUUGACUCGUCUCGUCUAGGGCCACCAAGAGACCGCCUUGACCCGGUUAGGAUCGCCUUCACAUGUCUAAUGCCGCUAAGGGGUCGCCUUGACUUGGUAAUGGGCUACCUUGAGCCUCCUAGACCUGCUUAGGGCCGCCUUGACCCUCGUAGACCUGCCUAGGGCCGCCUUAACUCGCUUUGAACCGCUAUGGGCUGCCUUGACCCGCCUUGGGCAGUCUUGACCCUCCUAUGGCCGCCAAGAGGCCACCUUGACCCAUCUACGGACACAAAGGGGCUGCCUUGACCCGGCUAGGGCUGCCUUGACCGGGCAAAAGGGUCGCCUUGACCCGUCUAAUGCCGGUAAGGGGUCAAGGUCUAAUGUCGGUAAGGGGUCGCCUUGACCUGCUAAUGGGCCACCUAGACCUGCCUAGGGCCGCCUUGACCCUCCUAGGCCCGCCUAAGGACACCAAGGGGUUGCCUUGACCCGCUUUGAACAGUCUUGACCCUCCUAGGCCCGCUUAGGGACGCCAAGGGGUCGUCUUGACCCGCUUUGAACAGUCUUGACCCUCAUAGGGCCGCCUAGGGAGACAAAGGGGUCACCUUGACCCGCUUUGAACAAUCUUGACCUUCCUAGGGCCACCAAGGGGCCGCCAUGACCCAUCUAAGGCCACCAAGGGGCCACCUUCACCUAUCUAAGGCCACCUAGGGGCCGCCUUGACCAGCCUUGACCCUCAUAGGCCCAUCUAGGGACGCCAAGGGGCCGCCUUGACCCGCUUUAACUUGCCUUAACCCGCUUUGACCCGCCAAGGGGCAGCCUUGACCCUCCUAGACCCACCUUGGGGCGCCUUGACCCUCCUAGCCCCUCCUGGGGCCGCCUUAACCCUCCUAUGCCCUUCCUAAGAUGCCGCCAUGACCCGCCAAGGGGGCUGCCUUGACCCUCCUAGACCUUCCUUGGCCCACCUUAAUCCGCCUUGACCCGCGAAGAGGCUGCCUUGAUUUGUCUAGGGCCGCUAAGGGGUCGCCAUGACCCAUCUAAGACUACCUCGGGGCCGUCUUGAUUCGGCUAGGACUGCCAAGGGGCCGCGUUCACUAGUCUAAGGCGGCCAAGUGGUCACCUUAACCCGCCAAAAGGCCGCCUUGACUUGUUAAUGGGCUACCUUAACCCUCAUAGACCUGCCUAAGGCAGCUUUGACCCACCUUAAGCCGCCUUGGUCCGCUUUGGCCUGCCUUAAUCCGCCUUGACCUGCCAAGAGGUCGCCUUGAUUCAUUUAGGGCCACCAAGGGGCCGCCUUGACUUGGUUAGGGCUGCCAAAGGGCCGCCUUCACCCGUCUAAUGUUGCAAAGUGCUCGCCUUAACUUCCUAAUGGGCUACCUUGACCCUCCUACCUAGGGCCGCCUUGACCCUCCUAGGCCCAUCUAGGGCCGCCAAGGGGCUGUCUUGACCCGCUUUAAACCGCCUUGGGCAGCCUUGAGCCGCCUUGACACUCCUAAGGCUGCCAAGAGGCCGCCUUGACCCGGAUAGGGCCGCCAAGGGGUCGCGUUCACCUGUCUACGGCCGCCAAGUGGCCUCCUUAACCCGCCAAAGGGUUGCCUUGACCUGCUAAUGGGCUACCUUGAUCCUCCUAGACCUGCCUAGGGUCACCUUGACCCUAUUAGGCCCGUCUAGGGCUGCCAAGGGGCCGCCUUGACCCGCUUUGACCUGCCUUGAGCCGCCUUAACCCGUCUUGGUCCGCCUUGGCCCGCGUUAAUCCGCCUUGGCCCGCGUUAAUCCGCCUUGACCCGCUAAGAGGCCGCCUUGAUUCGUCUAAGGCCACCAAGGGGCCGCCUUGACCCGGUUAGGGCCACUAAAGGGCCGCCUUCACCCGUCUAAAGCCGCAAAGAGGUCUCCUUGACUUGCUAAUGGGCUACCUUAACCCUCCUAAACUUGCCUAGGGCCGCCUUGACCUUCCUAGGCCCGUCUAGGGCUGCCAAGGGGCCGUCUUGACUUGCUCUGACCCGCCUUUACCCUCCUUGUCCCGCUUUGAACCGCCUUAGGCCGCCUUGACCCGCCUUGGGCCACCUUGACCCUCCUAGGGCCGUCAAUGGGCCGCCUUGACCCAUCUAGGGACACCAAGGAGCCACCUUGACCCGGGUAGGGCUGCUAAUUGGCCGCAUUCACCCGUCUAAGGCCGCCAAGUGGCCGCCUUGACCCUACUAAGGUCUUUUAGUGCCGCCAAGGGGAUUCCAUGACUCGCCAAAGGGUCGUCAUGACCCGUCUAGGGCAGCCAAGAGGCCGCCUUGACCCAUCUAAGACCACCUAGGGGCCGCCUUGACCCGUUUUGAACCGACUUGAGACACCUUGGGCCGGCUUAUCCCGCCUUAACCCACCUUGAACCGCCUUGACCCUUGUACGGUCGGCUUAUCCAGUCUUGACCUGUUUUGACCCGCUUUGAACCGCCUUGAGGCACCUUGGGCCGGCUUAUCCCUCCUUAACCCACCUUGAACCGCUUUGACCCUUGUAGGGUCGGCUUAUCCAGUCUUAACCCGUUUUGACCCGCUUUGAACCGCCUUGAGGCACCUUGGGCCGGCUUAUCUCGCCUUAACCCACCUUGAACCGCCUUGACUUAUCUAGGGACACCAAGGGGCCGCCUUGACCCGGCUAGGACCGCCAAGGGGCCACGUUCACCUGUCUAAGGCCGUCAAGUGGCCUCCUUGACCUGCUAAUGGGCUACCUUGACCCUAUUAGACAUGCUAAUGGGCUACCUUGACCCGCUUUGACCCACCUUGAGCCGCCUUGGCCGUCUUGACCUGUUUUGGCCCACCUAGAGCCGCCUUGGUCCGCCUUAAUCCGCCUUGACCCGCUAAAGGGCAGCCUUGACCCGGUUAAGGCCGCCAAAUGGCUGCCUUCACUCAUCUAAUGCCACCAAGGGUCGCCUUGACCUGCUAAUGGGCUACCUUGACCUUCCUAAACCUGCCUAGGGACGCCUUGACCCUCCUAGGCCAGUCUAGGGUCGCUAAGGGGCCGCCUUGACCCACUUUGAGCCUCCUUAAGGCGCCUUGACUCGUCUUGACCCUCUUAGACCCGCCUAGGGCAAUCAAGGGGUCGCCAUGAGCCUCCUAGGGUUGCCAAUGGGUUGUCUAGAGCCGCUAAAAGGUUGCCUUGACCCGCAUAGGGUCGCCUUGACCUGCCUUGGCCCGCCUUGGGUUGUCUUCACCCGCCUUAACCCAUCUUGAGCCGCCUUAGGCCAUCUUGACCUGGCUUGACCUGCAUUGGUCCGCCUUUCCUCGCCUUAAUCUGCCUUGACCCGCCAAGAGGCCGCCUUAACUAGUCUAGGGCCACCAAGAGACCGCCUUGACCCGGUUAGGGCCGUAAAAAAGCCGUCUUCACCCGUCUAAUGCUGCCAUGGGGUCGGCUUGACCUGCUAAUGGGUUAUCUUGACCCUCCUAGGCCCGUCUAGGGCUGCCUUGACCCUCUUAGAUCGGCUAAUGGGCUGCAUUAACCGUCCUAGGCCCGUUUAAGGUCGCCUUGACCCGCUUUGACCCACCUUGAGCCGCCUUGGUCCGCCUUGGCCACCUUGACCCGUCUGGGCCCACCAUGAGCCACCUUGGUCUGUCUUGACCCGUCUUAAUCCGUCUUGACCCUCCAAGGGGCUGCCUUGACCCGGUUAAGGCUGCCAAAUAGCCGCCUUCACUCAUCUAAUGCCGCCAAGGGUCGCCUUCACCUGCCAAGGGCACGCCUUCACCUGCUAAGGGGCUGCCUUAACCAUUCUUGAGCCUCCUAUGCCAUCCUAGGGCCGCUAAGGAGCCGCCAUGACUCAUCAAAGGGUUGUCAUGACCCUUCUAGAGCAGCCAAGGGGCUGCCUUGAGCCAUCUAAGGCCGCCUAAGGGCCGCCUUGACCUGGCUAGGGUCGCUAAGGGGCCGUGGUCACCCGUUUAAGGCCGUCAAGUGGCCGUCUUGACUCACCAAGGGUCCGCCUUGACCUGCUAAUGGGCUACCUUGACCCUCUUUGACCUGCCUAGGGCCGCCUUAACCCUCCUAAGCCUGUAGAGGGCCGCCAAGGGGCCGUCUUGACCCACCUUGGGCCGUCUUAAUCCGCCUUGACCCGCCAAGAGGCCGCCUUAACUCAUAUAGGGUCACCAAGGGACCGCCUUGAACCGGUUAGGACCGCCAAUGGGCCGCCUUCACCUGUCUAAUGCCGCAAAGGGGUCGCCUUAACUUCCUAAUGGGCUACCUUGACCCGCUUUAGUCCGCCUUGACCCGGCUAGGGUCGCCAAAGGGCCGCGUUCACCCUUCUAAGACAGCCAAAUGGCUGCCUUGACCCUCCUAAACACGCCUAAAGCCGCCUUGACCCUUCUAGGGCCGCCAAGGGGCUGCCAUGACUGGCCAAGGGGUCGUCAUGACAUGUCUAGGGCCGUUAAAGGGCCGCGUUCACCCGUCUAAGGCCGCCAAGUGGCCACCUUGCUUGACCCGCCUAGGGUCUCCUUGACCCUCCUAGACCCGCCUAGGGCUGCUAAUUGGCCGUCUUGACCCACCGAGGGUCGCCAAGGGCCACUUUGACCCGUCAUGACCUGUCAAAGGACUGCCUUAACCUUCCUACACCCACAUAGGGACCACCUAGACCUGCUUAGGGGCCGCCUAAACCCGUCAAGGGGAUGUCGAGACACGUCUAGGGCCACCGAGGGGGAGUUUUGACCCGUCUUGGUUCGUCAAGAUCCGCCUGGACCUGCUUAAGACACGCGUAAGGACCGCCAAGACCUGUUUAGGGGCCGCCGAGACCCGCCAAGGGGCCACCAAGACACGUCUUGUGCUGCCAAGGGAGCUCCUUGACUCGCCUAGAGCCAUCAAGAUCCGCCUAAACCUGCAUAAGACAUGCGUAUGGAUCUCUUAGACCCGCUGAAGGGUCGCCUAGACCCUGCUAGACUCUCCUAGACCCGCCUAGUCCCUGCUAGACACACGUAGGGAUCACCUAGACCCGCUUAGGGGCCGUCUAGACCCACCAAGGGGCUGCUGAGACACGUCUAGGGCUGCCAAGGGGUGCCUUGACCCGCCUAGGGUCGCCAAGACCCACCUAGACUUGCUUAGGACCCGCCAAGGGCCGCUAAGGGGCGAUCUUGACCCGCUAAGGGCCGCUUUAAUUUGCUAAGGGACCACCUUAACCCACCUAGACCAGCUUAGGGGACCGCCUAGACCCGCCUAAGGACCUUUAAGACCCAUUUAGGGGCCGCCUAGACCCGCUAAGGGAGCGCCUAGAGCCAUCAAGACUCGCCUAGACCAGCUUAAGACUUGCAUGGGGACCUCCUAGACCCAUCUAGAUCCUCUUAGACCCGUCUAGACCUUCUUAGACCCACGUAAGGACCAUCUANNNNNNNNNNNNNNNNNNNNACGCUUAGGGGCCGCCUAGACCCGCCAAGGUGCUGUUGAGACCGUUUAGAGCUGCCAAAAGGGCGCUUUAACCCGUCUAGAGUCGUCAAGACCCGCCCAGACUUGCUUAGAACUAGCCAAGGGCAACCAAGGGCCGCUCAGGGGCGGUCUUGACCCAUCGAGGGCCGCCAAGAGGACGCUUUAACCUGCCAAAAGACCGCCUUGACCCACCUAGACCUGUUUAGGGGAUGCCUAGACCUGCCAAGGGGCUGCCAAGACAUGUCUAGGGUUGCAAGGGGCUAUCGAGACCCAUGUAGGGCCGCCAACUGGGCACCUUGACCCGCCAAGGGCCAUUAAUACAUGACUAGACAUGCUUAGGACCCGCGUAAGGACCAUCUAGACCCGCUUAAGGACCGUCUAGAUCUGCUAAGGGCCUGUCGAGAUACAUCUAAGGCCGCCAAGGGGGCGCCUUGACCCGCCUAAGGCCGUCAAGAUCAUCAUGAAUCGAUCCACUGCCUUGCGUACAGAGGGAAAAUAAGAUCAAGUGAUUCACGUAGGGUAACACCCUCAGUACACAUUUCUUGCUCAUUCAUCAUCAUUUAUGAAGUCCUCAUAAAUGAUUUUUUUUUUUAAGUUAACAUAUUUCAUCUAUUAAAAAUAAAAGGAUUAAUUUCAGUUUACCCCCAUCAACUUAGGUCGAUUAUCAUGUUAGUCAUUCUUCUUUCAAUUUCAUCAAAAACACCCCUCAACUCCUAAUUUUCAUCAGCCGCGUAUGUCCAAACCUCCAAUCUCUGUCAAGUGAUGACUUGAUAUCAAGAAGAAAGAAAAAAGGAAAAAUAGACAAAUUGCAUUCAAUCUCACCAAAAUCACCAAGGUUAGAGGGUUGUGAUGGGAACAAAGAUGUGUAUCAAUAUGGGGAGAAAAUGGUUCGAAAGGUAACUUUCAGAAUUUGCCUUUCUUCUUGAUAUCAAGUCAUCACUUGACAAAAGAAUUGGAUGGAGAUUGGAGGUUUGGACAUGCGCGACUGAUGAAAAUUAGGAGUUGAGGGGUGUUUUUGAUGAAAUUGAAAGAAGAAUGACUAACAUGAUGAUCGACCUAAAAUUGAUGGGGUAAACUGAAAUUAGUCCAAAAUAAAAGAUACAUCAUGAAUCGAUCCACUGUUUUGCGUACAAAUGGCAAAUAAGAUCAAGUCAUGAUUCAUGUUGGGUAACCCUCAUUACACAUUUCUCGCUCAUUCAUCAUCAUACCUAUAAUCAACAAGACUAUGGACAAUUAAUCUAAUGAAAAGGGAAACAACAACACCUGUAAUCUAUGUUCCACAUAUUAUAGGCCAUUAUUCUAAACAUAAAAACAUAAUUAAAGGCAAUUGAGACCCAAAGCCCAGAACAAGUAUCCAAGGCCCAAAGAAAAGACUUAAGCUUACUGAAGUCCACAAGCUCAAGCCUAAUUUAUAAGGGCACUCAAGAUGGGCACUCUAUCCUCCGCCAUCUGCCACCACCGUCGUUGCCUCCGACGGGUGGCCUUGGCCCCAUCAUCUGCCAUCACCGGGCCCAAACCGGCAAGGCAGCAACCAGCCUUGACCUCGCCCAAAACCAGCAACCAGCCUUGACUCGCAGCAAUCGUCGUUGCAAACUACCAAGAGCCGCUCAAAGCCGCCUCAAGGUCGACCCCGACAACCUAUAGACAUAACAAGGCUGGAGUUCAAACCACUGAUCUAAUCCGAUCUGAAAUCACUCACGAUCGAACUCCGUUUGUCGACCGAAUGACCUGAUCCUUGCAACAAACAAGAAGCCGCCGCUACUACCGUCUUCAACCUCAAAGAUCAGAGCCGUCACCACUUGUAAAGUCGACGUCGUCUAGUCGCCCAGCCACCGACAGACCCUAAACCAAACUCACGAUCUAAGGCUUACCUCCACGCAGCUGCAGCCGCUUAGAAGCUUGCCCACGCCGCUAAAUCGUGAUCCGGGUCACUCACCACCAGCCAAGAAGCUUAGCCGUCUAGAGCCACCUUGGGCCAUCUUGACCUGUCUUAACCUACCUUGAGCACCAUUGGUCCGCCUUUGCCCGCCUUAAUCUGUCUUGACCCGCCAAGAGGCCGCCUUAACUCGUCUAGGGCCGCAAAAGGGCCACCUUGACCCAGUUAGACCCGGUUAGGGCCGCAAAAAAGCCGCCUUCACCCGUCUAAUGCCGCCAUGGGGUCACCUUGACCUGCUAAUGGCCUACCUUGACCCACUUUCAACCCUCUUAGGCCGCCUUGACCCUCCUACGGCCGCCAAGGGGGCGCCCUGACCUGGCUAGGGCCGCUAAGGGGCCGCAUUCACUCGUCUAAGGCCGUCAAGUGGCCGUCUUGACUCGCCAAGGGGCCGUCUUGACUCGCCAAGGGGCCGCCUUGACCCUCCUAGAGCCGCCUUGACUCUCUUAGGCCCUCAUAGGCUCGCCUAGGGCCACCAAAGGGCCGCCAUGACUCGUCUAGGGCCGCCAAGGGGUCGCCUUAACAAGCUAAUGGGCUACCUUAGCCCUCCUAGACCUGCCUAGGGCCGCCUUUACCCUCAUAGGCCCGUCUAGGGCCAACUUGGCCCGCCUUAAGCCGUUUUGACCUGCCUAGGACCACCUUGACUUGCCUAGUGACGCCAAGCGGCCGCCUUGACUCGCAUAGGGUCGCCUUGACCCUUAUUAACCCAUCUAGGGCCGAGUUGACCCGCCUUAACCCAUCUAGGGUCUUCUUGGGCCGCCUUGACCCUCUUAGGCCUGCCCGCCUAGGUAGUCAAGGGGUUGCCAUGACCCUCCUAGGGUUGCCAAUAGGUUGUCUAGGGCCGCCUUGACCCGCAUUAAUCUGCCUUGACCCGCUUUAAACCGCGUUGCCGCCUUGACCCACCCUGGGCCACCAAGAAGUCGCCUUGACCCAUAUGGAGACACCAAAGAGCUGCCUUAACCCGGCUAGGGCCGCCGAAGGGCCGUGUUCACCAGUCUAAAGCCACCAAGUGGCCGCCUUGACCCGCCAAGGGACUGCCUUGACCCACCUAGACCCGCUUAGGGCCGCCAAGGGGGCUGCCUUGACCCUCCUAGGGCCGCUAAGUGGCCGCCUUGACCCACUUUGACCCUCCUUAAUCCGUCUUGAACCUCCUUGAGGCAACUUGGGCUGCCUUGACCCGCCUUGGGCCGCCAAGGGGGCUGCCUUGCCCCUCCUAGGGCCGCUCAGUGGCCGCCUUGACCCGCCUUGAACCUCCUUGCGGUAACUUGGGCUGCCUUGACCUGUCUUAACCCGCCUUGGGCCGCCAAGAGGCCACCUUGACCCAUCUAGGGACACCAAGGAACCGCCUUGACCCAGCUAGGGCCACCAAGGGGCCGCGUUCACCCGUCUAAGGCCGCCUUAACCCUUCUAAGGCCGUCAUAACUCGCCAAGGGGUCGCCAUGACCCGUCUAAGGCUGCCAAGGGGCCGCGUUCACCCUUCUAAGGUCGCCAAGUGGCCUCUUUGACCCGCCAAGGGGGCUGUCUUGACCCACCUAAACCCUCCUAGGCUCUCAUAUGGCUACCAAGGGGCCGUCAUGACUCGCCAAAGAGCCGCCUUGACCCAUCUUAAGCUACAUAGGGGCCGUCUUGACCCUCCUAGGCUCUCAUAUGGCCACCAAGGGGCCGUCAUGACUCGCCAAAGAGUCGCCUUGACCCAUCUUAGGCUACAUAGGGGCCGUCUUGACCCUCCUAGGGCCGCUAAGGGGCCGCCUUUACCUGCUUUGACUCGCCUAAACCUGCCUUGACCCACUUUGAACCGUCUUGAGGCACCUUUGGCCGCCUUGACCCUCCUUGGGCCGCUAAGAGGCCGCCUUAACCCAUCUAGGGACACAAAGGAGCUGCCUUAACCCGGCUAGGGCGGCCAAGGGGCCACGUUCACUCGUCUAAGGCCGCCAAAUGGUCGCCUUGACCCUGCUAGGCCCACCUAGGGCCGCCAAGGGACGCCUUGACCUGCCUACACCUAAGGCCGCCAAGAGGUUGCCUUGACCAGUCUAGGGCCACCAAGAGGCCGCCUUCACCCGACUAAGGCUGCCAAGGGGCCGCCUUCACCCGCUAAGGGGAUGCCUUGACCAUUCUAGACCCGCCCUAGGGCCGCCUUGACCCUCCUAGGCACGCCUAGGGCCACCAAGGGGCCGCCUUGACCCGCCUUGACCCGUCUUAGCCCGCCUUGACCCGCUUUGAACCGCCUUGAGGCGCCUUAGGCUGCCUUGACCCACCUUGACCCUCCUAGGGCCGCCAUGGGACAGCCUUGACCUGGCUAUGGCCGCCAAGAGGUCGCAUUCACCUGUUUAAGGCCGCCUUGACCCGGCUUGGCCCGCUUUGAACCGCCUUGAGGCGCCUUUGGCUGCCUUGACCCUCUUAGGGCCGCCUUGACCUGGCUAGGUUCGCUAAGGGGCCGUGUUCACCCGUCUAAGGCCGCCAAGUGGUCGUCUUGACCCGCCAAGGGGCCGCCUUGACUUGCUAAUGGGCUACCUUGACCUUCCUAAACCUGCUUAGGGCUACCUUAACCUUCCUAGGCCCGUCUAGGGCUGCCAAGGGGCCGCCUUGACCCGCUUUGAACCCCUUUGACCCGCUUUGAACCGCCUUGAGCCGCCUUUGCCAGUCUCAAUCUGCCUUGACCCGCCAAGAGGUCGCCUUGACUUAUCUAGGACCACCAAGGGGCCGCCUUGACCUGGUUAGGGCAGCCAAUGGGCCGUCUUCACCCGUCUAAUGUCAUAAAAGGGUCGCCUUGACCUGCUAAUGGGUUAUCUUGACCCUCCUAGACCUGCCUAAGGCCGCUUUGACCCGUUUUGACCCGUCUUCACCUGUUUUGAACUGCUUUGGGCCGCCUUGACCCGACUAGGGCCGCCAAUGGGCAGUGUUCACUCGUCUAAGGCCGCCAAGUGGCCGCCUUGACCCGCCAAGGGGGCUGCCUUGACCCUCCUAGACCCACCUAAAGCCUCAUUGACCCUCCUAGACCCUCCUAGGGCCACCAAGGGGAUGCUCUGACUCAUCAAGGGGUCGCCAUGACCCGUUAAGAGGUCGCGUUCACCCGUCUUAGGCCGCCAAGUGGCCGCCUUGACCCGCCUAGAGCCGUCUUGACCCUCCUAGACCCGCCUAGGGCCGCUAAUUGGCCGCCUUGACCCAUCGAGGGCCGCCAAUGUAAUACCCCGAUAAUUUUAAAAGUCAAUUAAUGUAGAAUUAAAUUCAGUUUACCCCCAUGAGGUUUGAGAGUAACUUCAUGUUAAUCCCUAUACUUUCAAUUUCAUCAGUUUACCCCUCAACUUUUGAAUUUUCCUCAAGCGUGACCAAUGUCCUAUAUUCUGUCCAAAUCGGACGUUAACUGCUAAUAAUUUUAACCUUAACUAUGAAACCCGUAUCUAGAAUUAAGGGUUAAUUCAAACAGAAUAUGAGAAUUUGGGCACUGCAGACAAAAAUUAAAGAGUUCAAGGGGUAAACUGAUGAAAUUAAAGGUGUAGGGACUAACAUGAAGUCACCCCUAAACCACAAGGGGGUAAACUGAAUUUAAUUCAUUAAUGUAUAUACAUAUAUAUCAUUCAUGCUAAGAUGUGAGUUAAUUAAAAUAUUCUUGUAAUACGAGAAUAUUUAUUUGGGACUCUUCCUGUGCCGAAACAUAUGUGUAUAAUAGAUAUAUGCACAUAUACGGUAUACUUUCACAAUUAUAGUAAGGUGAAUAAGUAAGUAAAAUAAUAUAUCUAUGAAAGCAAGAGAGAGGUGGUCUAGAAUACUGAGCUCACACCGAUAUGGGACACGAAAAUUUAAAAGAAGAGGAAGAAUCGAGAAAAUGGAGGAAGGAGAGAACGACACAGACCUUUUUAUUAUAUAUCUUUCAUAGGCCGGAUUUGUGAUACACCGAGUAUUUUAUAAAUGAAUGAAUAUUACUGAAAUGAGAUCUAAAUUAUGAGGAUGUGGUACUAAUACUUCAUAUCGAUAUGAGCAUGUGAAAAUUCUCAUGAAUUUUCUAGACAGUUGAUUUACUCACUAUUGAUAAAACUAUGGGAAUAAAAUAAAUGAAAUGGAGUGAUAUGGACCGUUGGAUCUUUUGAAAUUUGAUCUAUAUCGUUGGGUUUGUGAUUACUUUUUACUCUUGGAUUUGGGUUACAAGUUGAGAUUGGUCUAGAAAAGAAUGGAAGGUUGUGAAACUUUUCACCGACUAGAAAAAAGGGAAAGAAGGGUUGAGAAGAGGGGAGAAGAAGGGGAAGAUGACACCGACCGCCAACCAUGAUAUCUACCACCGACCUCGACCAGGAGGGAGGGAAACCUCUCAUUGUUCUCCUAGACGAACAUCAACCCCAAUCUCGACUCUACCUCUCACGCCGACCUUCUCCAAUAAUCAAUCACUCUUUGUUUCCUAAAGAGAAGUAAGUGAUUCAAAGGGCGACAACCAUGGUUUUCAACUCAAGCCAUUGGUUAAAAUUCAUCACCUAAUGAUUAGUUUUUCGUCGGAGUCGAUUGGGUAAGGUGUUCGUGUUUGGAAUAGGAUUGGAAUAAAGAUUUUAGGUUCGUUUUCUUGUUAAGAGUGAAUCCUUUGUUCAAUCUCUUAAGUGAAUCUCUGGAUUGCUCUUCUGAUGCUCGAUUAAGCAUUGGAUACUCAGAAAUAUUAUCCAUGUGUCGAGUUCCUAUUUUGAUAAAUAUUUAGAUUUACUUAGUAUAAUUUUGGGGUCAGGUCGUUACAGCCAAGGGGCCACUUUGACCCGCCAUGACCUGUUAAGGGACCGCCUUGACCCUUCUACACCCAAGUAGGGACCACCUAGACAUGUUUAAGGGCCGCCUAAACCCACCAAGUGGAUGCCGAGACACAUCUAGGGCCACCAAGGGGGCGUUUUGACCCGCCUAGACCUGCUUAAGACAUGCGUAGGGACCACCAAGACCCAUUUAGGGGCCGCCAAGACACGUCUCUGGCCGCCAAGGGAGCGCCUUGACUCGCCUACCCGCCUAAACCAGCAUAAGACAUGCAUAGGGAUCUCCUAGACCCGCUUAGGGGUCACCUAGACCCUGCUAGACUCUCCUAGACCCGCCUAAACCAUGCUAGACAUUUAGGGAUCACCUAGACCCGCUUAGGGGCCGCCUAGACCCGCCAAUGGGCUGCUGAGACACGUCUAGGGCUGCCAAGGGCGCCUUGACCAGCCUAGGGUCGCCAAGACCCGCCUAGACUUGUUUAGGACCCACCAAGGGCCGCUAAGGGACGAUCUUGACCCGCUAAGGGCCGCCAAUGGGCCGUUUUAAUUUGCUAAGGGACCACCUUGACCCACCUAGACCAGCUUAGGGGGCCGCCUAGACCCACCUAAGGACCUCUACGACCCAUUUAGGGGCUGCCUAGACCCGCCAAGGGAGUGCCUAGAGCCGUCAAGACCUGCCUAGACCAGCUUAAGACCUGCAUGGGGACCUCCUAGACUCUUCUAGACCCUCUUAGACCCGCCUAGACCUUCUUAAACCCACGUAGGGACCACCUAAACACGCUUAGGCCCUAGACCUGCCAAGGUGCUGUUGAGACACGUUUAGAGCUGCCAAGGGGGCGCCUUAACCCGUCUAGGGUCAUCAAUACCCGCCUAGACCUGCUUAGGACCCGCCGAGGGCAACCAAGGGCCGCUAAGGGGCGGUCUUGACCCACUGAGGGCCGCCAAGAGACCGCUUUAACCUGCCAAAGGACCGUCUUGACCUAUCUAGACCAGCUUAGGGACUACCUAGACCCGUCAAGGGGCUACCAAGACAUGUCUAGGGUUCCCAAAGGGCUAUCGAAACCCAUGUAGGGCCGCCAACGGGGAGCCUUGACUCGCCGAGGGACGUUAAUACCUGCCUCGACAUGCUUAGGACCCGCGUAGGGACCAUCUAGACCCGCUUAAGGACCGCCUAGACCCGCCAAGGGCCUGCCGAGACAUGUCUAUGGCCGCCAAGGGGGCACCUUGACCCGCCUAGGGCCUUCAAGAUCAUCAUGAAUCGAUCCACUGUCUUGCGUAUAAAAGACAAAUAAGAUCAAGUCAUGAUUCACGUAGGGUAACCCUCAUUACACAUUUCUCGCUCAUUCAUCAUCAUACCUAUAGUCAACAAGACUAUGGACAAUUAGUCUAAUGAAAAGGGAAACAACAACACCUAUAAUAUAUGUUCCACAUAUUAUAGGCCAUUAUUCUAAACAUAAAAACAUAAUUAAAGGCAAUUGAGACCCAAAGCCCAGAACAAGUAUCCAAGGCCCAAAGAAAAGACUUGAGCUUACUGAAGUCCACAAGCUCAGGCCUAAUUUAUAAGGGCACCCGAGAUGGGCACUCUAUCCUCCGCCAUCUGCCACCGCCGUCGUUGCCUUCGACAAGCAGCCUUGACCCCAUUGAACAACCAUCAACAUCACCUUGCCCAAACCGGCAAGGCAUCAACCAGCCUUGACCUCGCCCAAAACCAGCAACCAGCCUUGACUCGCAGCAAUCGCCGUUGCAAACCACCAAGAGCCGCUCAAAGCACCAAUGUUGACCCCGACAACCUAUAGACGUAACAAGGCUGGAGUUCAAACCACCGAUCCAAUCCGAUCUGAAAUCCCUCGCAAUCGAACUCCGUUUGUCGACCGAAUCACCCGAUCCUUGCAACAAACAAGAAGCCGCUGCUACUACCGUCUUCAACCUCAAAGAUCACCACCUGCAAAGUCGACGUCGUCUAGUCACCCAGCCACCGUCGGACCCUAAACCAAACUCACGAUCUAAGGCUUACCUCCACGCCACUGCAGCCGCUUGGAAGCUUGCCCACGCCGCCAAAUCGCAAUCCGGGUUGCUCACCACCAGCCAAGAAACCGAAGUGAAAACUACCGUCGCCGCCUGCUCGAUCGUCUCCUCUCCUAGAAAAACCCUAAUAGGGAGAGAGUUGACUAUCUUUUUCAAGUUGAUUAUAUAUAUAGGUUCAUCUCCUAAUUACUCGUAGUAGUGCUUUCAAUAUAAGGUCCUCCUAAAUCAACAAUUAAUUUUAUGUAUUAAGGAACUAUUAAUUUAUAUAUUUAUUAAGAUCUUUGUGAAUUCUCGUAUAGUCGUAUUUGUAUUAUCUUAUAUAAUUUUAACGAAUUAUUAAUUUAACACGUUAUCCUCAACUCGAGACCGAUAAAAAAUAUUAUUUUAACGAGAUUAUUAAUUAAUUGAGUAUUAAAUUAUUAAGAUUCUACAGUCUUUGAGAUAAGAAAUAAGAAAAGAGGUUCAUGUUUCUAGGAGCCUUUCUAGUGAGGACCCUUAAGUUGAGGACUAGUUGAGGACUUUUCGGUUUAUGGUUUAAAAGACAUAUUUUUCGAUCACAUUUUGUCAUCUCAUCCGUUCAGUUUUAAGGUCUAUAUGUGUAGAUCAACCCUACAAAUUUUCAGCUAAAUCGGUGAUCGUUAAGGUAACAAACUAGAUCAAAUUAAUAAACGAACCAAAUCUAUCAAACAUGAAUCAUUCAAGUUCAUAAUUGGUAAAUCACACUUAUGAAUAUCUUAACGAUUUUCAAUAUGGCUAAAAAUUUGCAGAACUGAUCUACUCAUAAAUACUUAUAAACUGAACGGUGAAGAUAUAAAUAUAAAAUCAAAAAGUGAGAUAAGCCGAAAAAUCUUUAAUAAAUCCUUAACUUAAGGGUCCUCGUUAGAAUGGUUUUCU